rnacentral:lncRNA from 1 species
AUUAUCCUGAUAAUUCUUUGAAUUCAAUGUCUUUACUCGACAACAUUAUGCUAUUUUAUAAUGGAACCAGUACAUUAGUUAAUGAUCUUCUUGAAAUAUUGCCAAAUCAAGGUUUGGAACUUCCCAGAGAUUCAAAGAGAACUUUAAAAGCACUUUAUGAAAAGCGACUUAUAGACAGGAGCGUCAACUACAUCAAGUGUCAGUUGAUAUAUAUGUUUUGGUCAAAUACAUGUUUGUAUUUGGUUUUAAAAAAAUAGAACAACGGUUUUGGCAAUAGUUCAUUUUAUGUGAUGGUUGAUGUGAUAUAAUUUAUUUUGUGUGAUAUGCCUAAUGAAUUUUUAUUAGUAAAAACUUCUUUAAUUCAUUCAGCUCCUCCAAAAUUUGAAAGUCUGUGAUUCAUUUUAUUCUAUUUACGUCUAUUUCAAAUAAACGAAAUUGUUAAAAAGUGUGCUAUACGUUUUUUGUAUACAUAUUUAAAUAUAUGCGAAGAUUUUUGUAUAAGAAGUAUCUUUUAUUUUUCAAACUACUUUUAUAACAUUUAUUGAUGUUUUAAAUCAUUUUUUAGGACAACUGAAUUUCGCUUUUCCCAAAACAAAGUUAAAGAAAAUAUAUGAAGUCAAUGAUAAAUCUUAAAGUUUUACAAAGAAUAAUGUACCUAGUCAAUUCAGCAAGAAAAAAAGAACAUUUA